rnacentral:rRNA from 2 species
AAAGGCGUAAUGAAAGUGAAGGCCCGCCUAGCGCGGGCCGAGGGAGGAUGGGUGUCCCCGAGGGGACGCCUCGCACUCCCAGGGCGUCUCGUUCUCAUUGCGAGAAGAGGCGCACCAUGAGCGUACACGCUGGGACCCGAAAGAUGGUGAACUAUGCCUGGUCAGGACGAAGUCAGGGGAAACCCUGAUGGAGGUCCGUAGCGAUUCUGACGUGCAAAUCGAUCGUCGGAACUGGGUAUAGGGGCGAAAGACUAAUCGAACCAUCUAGUAGCUGGUUCCCUCCGAAGUUUCCCUCAGGAUAGCUGGCGCUCGUUUCUCGCGAGUCUCAUUCGGUAAAGCGAAUGAUUAGAGGCAUUGGGGUCGAAACGGCCUCAACCUAUUCUCAAACUUUAAAUGGGUGAGAUCUCCGGCUUGCUUGAACUGUGAAGCCGCGAGAUAUCGGAUCAGAGUGCCAAGUGGGCCACUUUUGGUAAGCAGAACUGGCGCUGUGGGAUGAACCAAACGCUGAGUUAAAGCGCCUAAAUCGACGCUUAUGGGA